GAAAUGCGAUAAGUAAUGUGAAUUGCAGAAUUCAGUGAAUCAUCGAAUCUUUGAACGCACAUUGCGCCCGGCAGUAAUCUGCCGGGCAUGCCUGUCCGAGCGUCAUUUCUCCCCUCGAGCCACCGCUUCCGGGCGGUGAUCCUCGGUGUUGGGGCACUACGGCGGAGCCCUAACCGGCCCCGCCGCAGGCCCUGAAAUGAAGUGGCGGUCCCGCCGCGGCGCCCCCUGCGUAGUAGUUCUCAUAGCAGCUCGCAUCGGGUCCCGGCGGAGGCCAGCCGUCAAACCCCCCAUAUUUUACAAGGUUUGACCUCGGAUCAGGUAGGGUUACCCGCUGAACUUAA
rnacentral:misc_RNA from 1 species